AUUGAACGCUGGCGGCAUGCUUUACACAUGCGAGUCGAACGGUAACAGGCCGCAAGGUGCUGACGAGUGGCGCACGGGUGAGUAAUACAUCGGAACGUGCCCAGUCGUUGGGGAUAACUACUCGAAAGAGUAGCUAAUACCGCAUACGAUCUAUGGAUGAAAGCGGGGUACUGUAAGGCCUCGCGCGAUUUGAGCGGCCGAUGUCAGAUUAGGUAGUUGGUGGGGUAAAGGCUCACCAAGCCAACGAUCUGUAGCUGGUCUGAGAGGACGACCAGCCACACUGGGACUGAGACACGGCCCAGACUCCUACGGGAGGCAGCAGUGGGGAAUUUUGGACAAUGGGCGCAAGCCUGAUCCAGCAAUGCCGCGUGCAGGAAGAAGGCCUUCGGGUUGUAAACUGCUUUUGUACGGAAAGAAACGGCUCUGGUUAAUACCCGGGGCUAAUGACGGUACCGUAAGAAUAAGCACCGGCUAACUACGUG
rnacentral:rRNA from 1 species